GCUGCGGGUUACCUAAGUUGGUAGAACAUAAGAUUCUUAAUUUCUGGGUUGUGGGUUCGACCCCCACAUUGGGCA